CCCAAAUUUACUGGUCAGAUAUACUCACGGAGGGCUGCUGUCACCUGUCAUCACUGCUGGACAGAUGAUUUCAACACAGACAUUACAAGUGGUCCAGCCUCUUCAUAAGCCUGCACUAAAGACACUGAAGCUUGUGAUCACCCGUGUCAGGACAAGGAAUGGCAUCUCCCUAACAGGACUCAAGAGCCUUUGCCAUUAUCUGUGGUAUUAAGCAGGUUUCAAUUAGGAUUUUAGGUGGAUUUUUUUCUUUGUUCCGCAGAAGUUUUAAUCAAGGCAGAAAAACUCUGACGCCUCAUUCUCCUCACAACAGUCAGUCACCAAAGCGUUGCAUUUUUCUUCCUGAAGCUUCCCCUCCCUCGGGCACAUUUUUAGCAAAAAAGAUGAGAUCCCAAGCUCUCCAGAUGUUGCCUCUCAGAUGUGCCUCAGCACGCAUCUCAGAGCCAUCUGGCCGCAGCAACAGCUGGACUGCUUCCAAGUGGAAGUGCUCACAGGCCAGGUGUCUCAGGGUAAUGAUGGAUAACCGUAGGUCGAGAUGACCGUUCAGCAGAAGAGACUAGAGGACUUAGCUGACUUGCAGAAACUGCUCAUUGUGGACAGCACACCUCUGAGGGAGGCCGGGAACUUGGCAGCAGACUUCAAGAAAGCAGCAGGAGGUCUAGCUGUCCUGGGCUGCCUUUCUCCACGGUAGCAGGCAGAGGGAGCCAAGCAGAGAUGGGAGCUCUAGGAGAUUUUCCCACUGAUGCCCCUAGGCACCCCAGUCCUGGGCAGCCUCUUCUCAGACUGCCAAGGAGCCACCAUUGCAACUGAUGGCCUCGUCCUGUGAGGACAACCAUGCGUCAGGCACUGGCUAUACGGACUGAGAAGCUGAAAACUGAUCAGAGUCAAGCUGAGCCUAUUGACCGCUUUCCAUGUCCACAGAGAUAAACACGAACAAACCUAAGAUAAAACCCCACUGAGUGCACUUCCCUGGGACCAUUUCGAGAGCUUCCGACCUCUGGGAACACAUAUGUGAGCCAGCAGGAUGGCCACAUCACCCACAGGGCAGUGUAGAGGUGGAUGCCAAACGCAGAGAAACUGAGUCAUAAAUGCCUGUAACUCUUCCUGUGGGUGUGAGGAUCCUAUCUCUCAACCCAGCUUGAAUGGGAUUUGUUUCUGCAACUGGAAUAAUCUUAAAUUAUCCAUUCUGACACCAGAGACUCAGCACUUUCAGGUUCAGAGUUCAUCAUGAUGGUGGGAAACAUGGCAGCAUGCAGGAAGACAUGGUACUGGAAGAGCCAAGACUUCUACAUCUUGAUUUGAAAGCAGCCAGGAAGAGGGACUAUCUUGCAUAGGGAUCCAGGAGUGGACUCUUUUCCACACUGGGUAGGACCUGAGCAUAAAAGUCUCAAAGCUCACCUCUACAGUGACAUGCUUCCUCCAACAAGGUCACACCUACUUCAACAAGGUCAUACCUCCUCAUAGUGCUACUCCCUGGGCUAAGCAUAUUCAAACUAUCACAAAUAUGAAGUAGUUAGAUGUCAUUUACAAUGAAGGUUGAAACUUAUCAAAGGGAAUAUAAGUCAAUUUCCUCCUGGUGAGACACCAGAUUUUAUAAAUUUAUUUUUAGUUUUCAUUUGCUCUGUUACAACAACCUGACUUUAUUAGGAGGUAGAACCUGGUUGGUUGAAGUAGGACACUGAGGAUGUAUCUGGACCCAUGUCCCUGCCCCUCCUAUUUUCUGAUUACUGUCCGUCACAAGUGGGUGCCUUACCUUAUCACAUAGUCUUACAGCCCUGAAGUUUUGACUCACCACAGGCUCUUCCUCUAACUGAGCUGAAAACUCACACCAGUACCCUGGAGAUGGACUUGGGGUUACUGGAACCUCUGUCUGGUCCUCCUCCCAGUGCACAUUGAUGAACUCACCCAUUUUUUGAUUUUCACCAUUGCCUCUCUCUUUAAUCAGUGUACUGGGGAUGAGUGGCCAAGCAGAACCUGAGAUUUUUGCCCUAAAAUUCUUGUUACAAAAGUUCUAAAACUGUGAGAUAAAUCUUUCUUUCAAGCUGUUCCCUCUGGUUUUGUCACGAUGAAGAAGCUGACUACCACACAGAAUGUGAAAAUUUUAGACUUCUAGAGUAUCUUCCCUAGUCUCUACCUGUGAGAUGACACAGUGAAGGCCAGUGUGGAUCUCCCCUCCCUUGUGGUUGUUGUCCACCAGUCCACAAAGGUGAGGGGAGCAGAGGUGCUGUGGGAAGGAUUCAAAUGGCUGUGAAUACAGACGGAUUAACUUCCAGGAACAGCUUUAGGGAGACAGCUCAAGUUUAUUGGGGUGAACAAGAGCUAUACAGAUCUUGGGGAGUAGGUAGGGAUUUCCAAGGUGCGUGUACAUUAUUGGCUAGGGUGGAGGUGCUGAGUACGCUUCAUUUACAUGAAGAAGAAUCUCAGGAUCUUGCGGGCAGGGGUGGGGGUGUUGUUCUUAACAAGAAAGAUGAAGUUGAGCCUGUCUGCACCAUGAGCUACCAGACUUUUCUCAGGUGAUUUUUGGGUUAGGGAUGGAAAGAGCUGAUUGGUUAUAACACAGUACCUAAUUAUCAUAUGGGCCAGAAGCCAGAGCUGGACUUGUGUGCUCUGUUAUGAAGUUCUGCACAAGGUCAUUCUUGAGACUAGGCCAGGCACCUGCAUUCAGGGAACACUCUCCAGACAAAGGUCAAGCAGAGAAAGGGAAGCCCCACUGAGAAAGGGAGCCCUUCAUUUUGUGCCAAGCUUGGAGAGCCAUUCAGUAAUGCGGUACUGCCAUC
rnacentral:lncRNA from 1 species